rnacentral:rRNA from 1 species
UACGUAGGGAGCGAGCGUUGUCCGGAUUUAUUGGGCGUAAAGCGCUCGUAGGCGGCUUGGUAAGUCGGAUGUGAAAGCUCCAGGCUCAACCUGGAGUCGCCAUCCGAUACUGCCAUAGCUAGAGUCCGGUAGGGGCCCACGGAACUCCUGGUGUAGCGGUGAAAUGCGCAGAUGUCAGGAAGAACACCGGUGGCGAAGGCGGUGGGCUGGGCCGGUACUGACGCUGAGGAGCGAAAGCGUGGGGAGCGAACAGGAUUAGAUACCCUAGUAGUCC